CAAUCGUAGCGAAUAACGGUGGAUUACGCGAAGAGCUCGCCAAAUGCCAGUUAACUCAGCGGUGUCUAGAAAAAUUAAUUAAAAAAGACAUUAUGUGGUUAACUUGAUACAAAAUUAAAAAUCGGAAUUUAAGUGCGAUAAUACUGUGAGCAACACAAUCAGCAAUUGAAUUUAAAAGUAAGAAGUUUAAUAUUCAUACUUUCCAGCACAGGCUGAAUUGUAACAGUGCAUAUCAGGGAAACAGGAUAUCAACAAAAAUAUCAUAAAUACAGUUAUCAGUCAUUAGCACGUCGUACGAGUCUUCUUUGACAAAAUGUUUUGGAUAUUACGUCGCACCGGCGCUGCGAAUUUCUUCAAUUCGCUGAACAACAAUUGCAGCUCAUCGAAGGGCGGCAAUAGUUCUGGCACACAAGAUAAAUAUGUGAAGCAGUCACCGCGCAAAGCUUACGGAUGGCUUGGUGCCGAUUAAGAUGAUGCCUGCUCCCAGGAAAAGCACAAAAUCGAUGAUUGCUUUGAUGAGUUUGAUAAUUUCAAAAUAAUAACUUCCAGCUUUGAAAGUAUUCGAUGCAGUACCCGCUGGUCGAAGCCGAGGAAGAGGAAAGAACAGGUGGAGAAGGGUUCGCUUGGUAUCACAAUUGGCGUCAUACAGCCAAAAGGAAGAACGCGCUGUUGUAAAUUCGACUAUAACAGUGUAAGCGGUGUCUACGCCAAUUAAGAAGAAUAAUAACUUCGGGCAAGAAUCGUGGAGGUAGCCGUUCGGGCGCAGUUGUCAUUAAUGACACCAUGAUUCCUUGUACACUGCCGGAUUGCCCGUGAAAUUUGCCACCUAAAUAAUGCGACGGGCUGCGAUGGGCGAAGUGUAGGCGGCGGCACAUCGAAAUCGAACUCAUCCGCAAUGCAGAGACAGAAGGAAGUCAAUGACCGACAUUAAUCGAUUGAAAGCGAUGCACAGGCGGUGUUUUAGCGAAAUUAUAAAUUUCGAAUGCGGCCAAAUAUUUUUCAUUUUUCGGACAACUAACAAAUCAAUGGAUUUUAUGCUGAGCCACACUCGGAAAACCUAAGGACUAUACUCCAUAGAAGCUCAAAAUUUAAAAGUACUCCGAGGUACUCUAAAAAACCCAUCCAUAUAGAUGAUGAGGUCAAUCAGCUGCUUUUAUCAGCGAAUGAGUUACCGGACAACCUUAAGCUUUCCGAAUGCUCUGACUUGGAAUAAUUUUUUAAGCAAAAGCACAAAAAAUGUUAAGAAGCAAGAUUUUAUAAAAAGUUGAUUUAUUUUAUAAAACAUACGAAGAAUCACACCUAACAAUUUUUACUUUAUUAUAUUUUUCAUAAGUAUUUAUGCACAUAAAUAAAAAAUCAACAAAAAUUAUAAUACGAGUUUUAUAGAAAUUAAUUUAUAAAAUACUAGCCGACCGCUCCGGCUUCGCACGGGUUUAAACAAAUAUUUCAAAUGUAAAAGCAGACGCUGCUUUCCUAACUAAGCACUUUCUGGAGUUUUCCGGCACAUCAUUCUUAUAUCUGGUUCCAUCGGUUAUCCCAUAUCUGAUUUCAGUUGACUCAUUUCGUUUCCGGAUGCCCCACUUCUAGUUCCAAUGACAAUAUUCAGCCAACCUAUUUCCGGUUCCGGCAAUAUCGUUAUACAUAUCCAUAUACAUAUACAUACCGGUUACCCCAUGAAGUCACUGGCCCCACCCUGAUCACGCGAUGACAUUUCAAGGUCACGUGAUAUUCUUGUUUACAGGUCAAUGACCCCACCCAGAU